rnacentral:rRNA from 1 species
GAUGAACGCUGGCGGCGUGCCUAAUACAUGCAAGUCGAGCGAACAGACGAGGAGCUUGCUCCUCUGACGUUAGCGGCGGACGGGUGAGUAACACGUGGAUAACCUACCUAUAAGACUGGGAUAACUUCGGGAAACCGGAGCUAAUACCGGAUAAUAUAUUGAACCGCAUGGUUCAAUAGUGAAAGACGGUUUUGCUGUCACUUAUAGAUGGAUCCGCGCCGCAUUAGCUAGUUGGUAAGGUAACAGCUUACCAAGGCAACGAUGCGUAGCCGACCUGGGAGGGUGAUCGGCCACACUGGAACUGAGACACGGUCCAGACUCCUACGGGAGGCAGCAGUAGGGAAUCUUCCGCAAUGGGCGAAAGCCUGACGGAGCAACGCCGCGUGAGUGAUGAAGGUCUUCGGAUCGUAAAACUCUGUUAUUAGGGAAGAACAAAUGUGUAAGUAACUAUGCACGUCUUGACGGUACCUAAUCAGAAAGCCACGGCUAACUACGUG